rnacentral:rRNA from 1 species
CGCGGCCUAUCAGCUUGUUGGUGGGGUCACGGCCCACCAAGGCGACGACGGUAAGCCGGCCUGAGAGGGCGACCGGCCACACUGGGACUGAGACACGGCCCAGACUCCUACGGGAGGCAGCAGUGGGGAAUAUUGCGCAAUGGGCGGAAGCCUGACGCAGCGACGCCGCGUGAGGGAUGAAGGCCUUCGGGUUGUAAACCUCUUUCAGCAGGGACGAAAUUGACGGUACCUGCAGAAGAAGCUCCGGCCAACUACGUGCCAGCAGCCGCGGUAAGACGUAGGGAGCAAGCGUUGUCCGGAUUUAUUGGGCGUAAAGAGCUCGUAGGUGGUUCAGUAAGUCGGAUGUGAAAACCCAAGGCUCAACCUUGGGACGCCAUUCGAUACUGCUGUGACUCGAGUCCGGUAGAGGAGUGUGGAAUUUCUGGUGUAGCGGUGAAAUGCAUAGAUAUCAGAAGGAACACCAACGGCGAAGGCAGCACUCUGGGCCGGUACUGACACUGAGGAGCGAAAGCGUGGGGUGCGAACAGGAUUAGAUACCCUGGUAGUCCACGCCGUAAACGUUGGGCACUAGGUGUGGGGGCUUAUCAACAGCUUCCGUGCCGCAGCUAACGCAUUAAGUGCCCCGCCUGGGGAGUACGG